AAUCAGUAUACGAUAACACUCCAACGCCAAUCAUAUUCAACUUCAAAGUGACUCAGAUUAUCGGUAUUAUCAUGGCAUUGCAUACAACAUUGAUUAAUGCCAAGAAACAACUCAUAAUCUCUUUAUGUACUUGAAGAAUCUCUAAGAGAAGAUAUUCUAUUUUUUUAAUAAAUUUAAAGCAAACAAAGAAUACCUAUCACAUAGUACUAAACCUUGGUAUAAUCAUAAAAUUAUAAAAUCAUAUCCAUCCAUAAAGUACUGGAUAUAGGAUGGGUGAAAGUCUAUUUAGUCCCUGUAUUUUAAGAUUAGUGUUCAUUUAGUCCCUGUAUUUUUAAAAAUAUCUCGAAAUAUCCCUGCCGUUAAAGUAUUAAUACCCCUACCGUUACUUUUCAUU
rnacentral:lncRNA from 1 species